ACAUUUUUUGCCAGCCAGCUUCAAAUGAAAGAAAAUUAUAUUUUUUUAUUGAAUUUAAUGUGAGACAAAUUGCUGAGAUAAGUUCAAAUUGUGAAAGUCGCGAUUGGAAAAGUAAAGCCACACAAGAAAAAAAUCGAUAAACAAAAAUGGAAUUAGUAAAUAACGUACAAAGAAAUAUACCUACUUAAAGUUACAUACAUAAGGAAUAUAGAGCCCUAUCAUAAAUAGUAUAAUACAUAGAUGGUAAAUAUUCCAAGUGUUUAAAUGAGCAAAUCCGUUCAAGCCAUUGGCAGAAUGAAAUAUUCAUAAAGGCAAAUCCAAAACGUGCGACUACGCAGGAAUUACCCGCCAAGAAAACAAGCGUGAAAAUACAAAUACCGCAUUGCUGUAUGGGUGUAUAUGUGCAUAUGAGUAAGUGAGAGGCUGGGUAAUGACGCCGAGUGCGUGACUGUCGACAGCAAUCAUCAUAUCUAGUAGAAAAUCUGCACCACCGUCAAUCACGCCAAUGUCAACAGUUCGUCUUCAACAAGUGCAACACAUCCAUCAUUAUUACCAAAAGGAGCAACAAGAGACAGCACAGCAACACCGCAGCCCAGCAGACAACAGCGACGCAAUCGCACAGAAAUAAAUUUAAAUAAUGCUUGUAACUAGCUUUCUAAUGCAUUCUACGCCGAUUUAAGUGAGCUCACGUCACCAGCCCAACCACUUAACGCAAUCCCUACCCGAUAAGCACUCGAAACUUAGGAAGCUAUUGCCAACAUCGAAGUGGAUGCGACACCAUCGAACCACAGCGACACUCGUAAAAUAUUUGAACUACACAUAGAGAAGGUAUCCGCGAGGAGGGAGGCAGAAAAAUGUUCGAUACGAAAUGGUUGCCUGCCGCCUGUGGCAGUUUGGCACCCGCUCUUAUACCGCCCGCUCACAUGUUGGUGUUGGCCUACUUUUGGGAAAAUUACUCGCGCUACGUUGAUAAGCACUUUUGUACAUGCUCCUGCUGGGACACCAUAUUCAAAGGGCCCUACGAGUCGGGUGUUGCCUCAUACAAGCAUCUCUACUUCAAUGUCACACAAAAUUCAUUCAAAAUGUGGCUGCUCACUGUAUUCGCUGUUAUUGCGCUUUAUGAAUGCAUUAAACAGUUGAUUGCGUUGAUAUUGCAACAACGUUGUCGCUACUCGAUGUUGUUGCUCUUCUCGCUGUCGAUAUUUUCACACUAUUAUGCCUGGUGGGCGUACAUAAAUUACUACAACGAUGACUAUUACCAGCAAUGGAACCAUCAGCUAUUUUUUACGGUAACCGAAAUGAUAUCUUCCUUGCUGGUCAUGCAUCUCGCGAACACUACUAACACGGUCACAUCGAAGAAAGUAUUCUGCAUUGUUGGCAUCGCCAUACUCCACAUCACAGCCAGCAGUUUCGACCAGUUCUUCAUGAAUGUGGUGCGUGGCGAAGGUUAUGCACAUCAAAUAGUACGAGAUAUCGGCUUUAUGGUGCCAGAUAUACUGCAAUUAAUCAUACCAUUGUGGCUGUUCCGCAAGACGCGCAAGGAAUCGUACACAACGCGUCCCUUUUACCGAGACCGCAAUCUACACAAAGACAUUGUGGCGAUGUUAUUCUUCGUGCUGGCGCUCUUUGUUGUCUGUACGAUUUUGUGAGAUAGAAUUUUCCAAUACCUGCAGAUGAUGAAUAGUGAGGAGGAAGCGCGCGCAACGAGACGCAUGAAUCUGAUGGCUCGACUAUACUUCAAUGUCAACAACAACCAAGUGUUGAAUUGAGCUGCACGCGUUUGUUGGUGGAUGCCGCUGAAGAGUUCUGAGCUUGCGGUGACACACUUUUUGCUGAAACUACUAAACGUUGGCGUGUAAGUCUAGAUGUAGUUAGUUUUAGCAACAAAAUAUAUGAAAUACGUACUUAUUUACUUAUAUAUAGUAUAUAUAUAUAGAUACAUAGAUACAUAUACUUACAUAUAUUAGAGUAAACCAAAGAACAAAUUUUCCCCUCUCUAACCUUGUGAUAACUGUGUUUCUUUGAUAUCCUUAGAUUUUAACAAAUUUAAUCAUAUUUGUUUCAAUUUCUUACCUGUAGUGAUUAUUAUUUAGGUUCCUUAGGAAAGAUGUUUUAUAAUCUAAACAAUAUUUAAUAUUAGAAGAGAGAGGGUGUUUAGCUGUCAUUCACAUACAUACAUAUGUAUAUGCAUUUGGUCAAAUAUUUUUAAACACUGAGUUGCAUUCCUUGAAAAUAGAACAUAUUAUUACAUGCAUCGGCAGUCACACACUCUGUCUUUUCCUACCUUUAUAUGACUCAACUCUACACCCUUAUCCAGUCUGCAGAAACCAGAAUUAAGGACGUGGUUGUUGAGGUCGUUAAUAUUGUAUCGGCGUAUGCCAGCAGCUAUACA
rnacentral:misc_RNA from 1 species